rnacentral:rRNA from 1 species
UACGUAGGCAGCGAGCGUUGUUCGGAGUUACUGGGCGUAAAGAGUGCGUAGGCGGUUUUCUAAGUUUGGUGUGAAAUCUCCCGGCUUAACUGGGAGGGUGCGCCGAAGACUGGAAGGCUUGAGUAUGGGAGAGGUAAGCGGAAUUUCUGGUGUAGCGGUGAAAUGCGUAGAUAUCAGGAGGAACACCUGCGGUGUAGACGGCUUACUGGACCAUAACUGACGCUGGGGCACGAAAGCGUGGGUAGCAAACAGG